rnacentral:lncRNA from 1 species
CGGAUCUUGCCAAGAGUCCUUUGUAAUUCAUUGCUAAUUGGAAUAGAGUCAAGUUCCUUUCAUCAUUGAGCCCCGAACCAUCUUGAUUCAUUCCCACCGCCGGCAGCCAAAGGCAAUAGCACACGGCGUGGUUCCAAGGCUGCAAGAAGGAAGAGCGAUACCCACAAGCAAGUCGGUCCCAACACAUAGCAAAGUCCCUCAACCUUGGCGCGGGGUUUGGGACCGCAAAGCCCCGCGGGCCAACACCCAGGCUCGGGGCGUGACAGAUUUGGUGUAUCAGAGCUUAGGUUUAAGGUUACUAGGAAUUGUGUUCGAAACAAACAUAUUUGAGCCUAGGUUUUAGGAUUCCUAGGAUCCGUUGGAAAAGGUGAGAGAUGGGUAGGAUUUAGACAAGAGGACAAUAUUAUUUGCCUUUUGUUAUAAAUAUAUUAAUUGAAGAAAAUAAUUUAUGUUAAUCUUAUCUCAAAUUCUUGACUGCUAGGUAGCAGUAAGCAAUAUGGAGGAUGAAAGAGAAAUAAGGGUACCUUCCCCGGACCCUGACAGCUAAUCAAUUUCACAAACCACUCCACACUCCGUAGCAAUCC